CUGGUUGAUCCUGCCGGAGGCCACUGCUAUCAGGAUUCGACUAAGCCAUGCAAGUUUUCCGCAAGGAAGCGAACAGCUCAGUAACACAUAGUCAAUCUGCGGUGAAGUCUGGGAUACCCUCGGGAAACUGAGGCUAAGCCCGGAUAGAAAACCUAAGAAGGAAAGCUUGGUUUUCCAAAGGCAACGCUUCACCAUGGGACUAUGGCUUAUCAGGCAGUUGGCGGGGUAACGGCCCACCAAACCUACGACGAGUACGGGUUGUGAGAGCAAGAUCCCUGAGAUGGAUUCUGAGACAUGAAUCCAGGCCCUACGGGGUGCAGCAGGCGCGAAAACUUUACACUGCGGGAAACCGCGAUAAGGGGACCCCGAGUGCCAGCACCUAGUGCUGGCUGUCCUACUGUCUAAAUAACAGUGGUUAGCAAGGGCCGGGCAAGACCGGUGCCAGCCGCCGCGGUAACACCGGCGGCCCGAGUGAUAACCGUUUUUAUUGGGUUUAAAGGGUCCGUAGCCGGCUUACUAAGUCUCUUGGGAAAUCUGGCGGCUCAAUCGUCAGGCGGCCAAGAGAUACUGGUAGGCUUGGGACCGGGAGAGGUGGGAGGUACUCCAGGGGUAGGGGUGAAAUCUCGUAAUCCUUGGGGGACCACCGAUGGCGAAGGCAUCCCACCAGAACGGGUCCGACGGUGAGGGACGAAAGCUGGGGGCACGAACCGGAUUAGAUACCCGGGUAGUCCCAGCUGUAAACGAUGCUCGCUAGGUGUCAGGUGCGGUGCGACCGCAUCUGGUGCCGCAGUGAAAACUUGAAGCGAGUCACCUGGGAAGUACGGUCGCAAGGCUGAAACUUAAAGGAAUUGGCGGGGGAGCACUACAACGGGUGGAGCCUGCGGUUCAAUUGGAUUCAACGCCGGG
rnacentral:rRNA from 1 species